UUGUGGUUAAAAAGCUCGUAGUUGGAUCUCGGCGGACUGAGGGCGGUUUGCUUGCUAGUAUUACUGCCCUAUAGUCCGUAGUUUUGCCAGAGGUUUCGGGGUGCUCUUAAUCGAGUGUCCCGGGAUGCUGGCAGGUUUACUUUGAAAAAAUUAGAGUGCUCAAAGCAGGCUAUUACGCCUGAAUAUUCGUGCAUGGAAUAAUAGAAUAGGAAGUCGUUUCUAUUUUGUUGGUUUUCGGAAAUCGACUUAAUGAUUAAUAGGGACAGUCGGGGGCAUUUGUAUUCAAACGACAGAGGUGAAAUUCUUGGACCGUUUGAAGACAAACUACUGCGAAAGCAUUUGCCAAGAAUGUUUUCAUUAAUCAAGAACGAAAGUUAAAGGUUCGAAGGCGAUUAGAUACCGCCCUAGUUUUAACCAUAAACGAUGCCAGCUAGCGAUCUGCGGACGUUUUUUUUGUAGACUCCGCAGGAAGCUUCCGGGAAACCAAAGCAUUUGGGUUCCAGGGGAAGUAUGGUUGCAAAGCUGAAACUUAAAGGAAUUGACGGAAGGGCACCACCAGGAGUGGAGCCUGUGGCUUAAUUUGACUCAACACGGGAAAUCUCACCCAGGCCCGGACACUGGAAAGAUUGACAGAUUGAUAGCUCUU
rnacentral:rRNA from 1 species